CCUACGGGAGUCUGCAGUGAGGAAUAUUGGUCAAUGGACGAGAGUCUGAACCAGCCAAGUAGCGUGAAGGAUGACUGCCCUAUGGGUUGUAAACUUCUUUUAUAUGGGAAUAAAAUGUUCCACGUGUGGGAUUUUGUAUGUACCAUAUGAAUAAGGAUCGGCUAACUCCGUGCCAGCAGCCGCGGUAAUACGGAGGAUCCGAGCGUUAUCCGGAUUGAUUGGGUUUAAAGGGAGCGUAGGUGGAUUGUUAAGUCAGUUGUGAAAGUUUGCGGCUCAACCGUAAAAUUGCAGUUGAAACUGGCAGUCUUGAGUACAGUAGAGGUGGGCGGAAUUCGUGGUGUAGCGGUGAAAUGCUUAGAUAUCACGAAGAACUCCGAGUGCGAAGGCAGCUCACUGGACUGCAACUGACACUGAGGCUCGAAAGUGUGGGUAUCAAACAGGAUUAGAUACCCCAGUAGUC
rnacentral:rRNA from 1 species